rnacentral:rRNA from 1 species
UACGGAGGGUGCGAGCGUUGUCCGGAAUCACUGGGCGUAAAGGGCGCGUAGGCGGCCUGAUAAGUAGGGGGUGAAAUCCUGCGGCUUAACUGUGGGCUUGCGGUCGAUACGGGCAUCACUGGAGUUCGGCAGGGGAGACUGGAAUUCCGAGUGUAGAGGUGAAAUUCGUAGAUAUUCGGAAGAACACCAGUGGCGAAGGCGGCUCACUGGACUGGUAUUGACGCUGAGGUGCGAAAGCGUGGGGAGCAAACAGG